rnacentral:rRNA from 1 species
GAUGAACGCUGGCGGCGUGCCUAAUACAUGCAAGUCGAGCGAACAGACGAGGAGCUUGCUCCUCUGACGUUAGCGGCGGACGGGUGAGUAACACGUGGAUAACCUACCUAUAAGACUGGGAUAACUUCGGGAAACCGGAGCUAAUACCGGAUAAUAUAUUGAACCGCAUGGUUCAAUAGUGAAAGACGGUUUUGCUGUCACUUAUAGAUGGAUCCGCGCCGCAUUAGCUAGUUGGUAAGGUAACGGCUUACCAAGGCAACGAUGCGUAGCCGACCUGAGAGGGUCAUCGGCCACACUGGAACUGAGACUGGGUCCAGACUCCUACGGGAGGCAGCAGUAGGGAAUCUUCCGCAAUGGGCGAGAGCCUAACGGAGCAACGCCGCGUGAGUGAUGAAGGUCUUCGGAUCGUAAAACUAUGUUAUUAGGGAAGAACAAAUGUGUAAGUAACUAUGCACGUCUUGACGGUACCGAAUCAGAAAGCCCCGGCUAACUACGUG